ACAAAUACUAAACUUAGUCAAACGGUUAAUAUUGAGAAUCUGCAAAAUGAUUCCUUUCUGGGAAUGUUGCAAAUCGUUACUGCUCAUAAAUGGUAUAUUAAUUGUACCAUUUUAGUAAAUAAGGAAUUCUUUAUCACUAAUGUCGCCAUGAUUGACAGCGGGGCAGACGUUAGUUGUAUUCAAGAAGGGUUAAUCCCUACAAAAUAUUUUGAAAAAACCACUCACCUCGUUAAAUCUGCAACGGGUCACUCGCUUGACAUUAAUUAUAAACUGCCUCAUGCUCAUAUUUGUCGUGACAAGAUAUGCAUUCCUCACUUUUUCUUUUUAGUGAAAAAUCAGAUUUAUCCUCCUAUUAUUUUAGGAACCCCGUUUAUAAAUGCUAUAUAUCCCUACACUCAUAUAGACGAAAAGGGAUUUAGAGCUACUUAUAAAAAUCAGCCUAUUUCUUAUUCUUUUGUUACUCAACCUGUAACUCGUGAUAUUAAUGCUCUUAUUAAUAUAAAGCAAAAACAGCUCAAUUUUUUACAAUUAGAAGUACUGAGUAUUACUACCCCUGAGAUUAUAAAAUCUGUUAAAGUACAAGAAAAAUUAAAGACUGUUUCUUCACAAUUAAUGAAUGAUAUUUGUGCUGACCAUCCAAAUGCUUUCUGGAAUAGAAAAAAGCAUAUUGUUUCGCUUCCUUAUGAGGACGGCUUCACUGAAGAAAAAAUUCCAACAAAAUCUCGACCCUGUCAAAUGAAUGCAGAGUUAGUUGAAUUCUGCAAAAGGGAGAUUGAUCAACUCCUGCAAAAGGGUCUCAUUAAACCCUCAAAAUCCCCUUGGUCUUGUACCGCUUUUUAUGUUAACAAUGCUGCCGAAAAAGAAAGGGGUACACCUCGGUUAGUCAUCAAUUACAAACCUCUUAACAAAGUUUUAAAAUGGAUUCGAUAUCCUAUUCCAAAUAAAAAAGAUUUACUUUCCCGAUUAUAUGACGCUAACAUAUUUUCCAAAUUUGAUUUAAAAUCAGGAUAUUGGCAAAUUCAAAUUGAUAAAACUCAUACUUAUAAAACCGCGUUUAAUGUUCCGUUUGGACAAUAUGAAUGGAACGUUAUGCCUUUUGGUUUGAAAAACGCCCCUUCUGAAUUUCAGAAAAUUAUGAAUGAUAUUUUUAAUCCAUACAUGGACUUCAUUGUUGUGUAUAUUGAUGAUAUUCUGGUAUUCUCCAAAACUCUUGACAAUCAUUUUAAACAUCUGCAUAUUUUUAAGCAAGUAAUUAUUCAAAAUGGCUUAGUUAUCUCUAAAUCAAAAAUGAGUUUGUUCCAGACUAAUGUUAGAUUCUUAGGUCAUAAUAUUUGUCAAGGCUCUAUUGAACCGAUCCAACGGGUCUUAGAAUUCGCUACAAAAUUCCCCGAUGAAAUUAUCGAUAAAAAACAGCUUCAAAGGUUCCUUGGUAGUCUCAAUUAUAUUUCUCCUUUUUAUAAAAAUUUGUCUAGAGAUUUAGCCCCUCUGUAUGACAGACUGAAAAAGGAUCACAAAACUCCGUGGACUCCAGCCCACACUAAUUUGGUAAAGGUAAUUAAAGCUCGGGUUCAAUCUCUUCCCUGUAUUUCUCUUGCUAAUCCUAAUUGGCAAAAAAUUGUUGAAACCGACGCUUCCAAUAUUGGGUAUGGUGGAAUACUUAAACAAGUUAAUCCCCAUACAAAGACAGAAUGUUUAAUUCGUUUUUAUUCAGGUAAAUGGACCGAUAGCCAAAAGAAAUACGCUACGAUAGCCCAUGAAAUGCUUACUAUUGUUAAAUGUGUAUUAAAAUUCCAAGAUGAUUUAUAUAAUCAAAAAUUCAUCAUCAGAACGGAUGCUCAAUCUGUUAAAUUCAUGUUUGAUAAAGAUUUUAAACACGAUGCUUCUAAAUUAAUAUUUGCCAGGUGGCAGGCUCAACUAGCCCCCUUUGACUUUGAAAUACAGUAUAAAAAGGGUAAUGAAAACUCCUUACCUGAUUUUCUAUCAAGAGAAUAUUUAACAUGACAAUCUAUACUACCUUUCUCUCUGAAAAAUCAUUGAUUACCAUCCUUAAAAUUAUCCCUUUACCCCCUGAUAUUCAAAAACACAUUUUAGAACUUCUAAUUACUAAACUUAUUCAGGAUGACGCCUGGUGGUAUAAUUUUAUUCACAGCGAAUUCUGGUGGUAUGCCCGUCUUCAAAAUCCUGAAGAAAUUAGUGAUUGGUACGAUAUUGAUAUUUCUGAUCAUUAAUUGCAGAAUGACAGAUCCUCCCUGGCAGACAGCCAGAGGACGUGGUCGUGGCCGACACCAAAAUCCUGCAUAUUCGCAAUACGGAGGACGAACCAAUCCGGCAUAUUUCCACCAAAGAAGUACAGCCAGAAGCUCUGCAUAUAGCACAUCAAAUUCUAAUUUCCCUGUCCUGCAACAAGGAAAUAAAACUCUGAUUAAUUCGAGAAUAUCUCAGGAUGAGGCCUCCUCCUCUCACAUUCAAACUCCGAAUAUUAAUCUGGAUGAUAUUCCUGAAACACAUCCGUUAUUUCAGCAAAUAAAAUCAUAUUUGGCUGAAAAGGGAAAGACUGCAGAUUCGUUUGCUUCAAUUGUGACAGAAAACUCUGAAAAUAAAUUAUCUUAUGAAAAACUCGAAGCUAGAGAAAUUAUAGUUUAUUUGGAAAAUCGGCAUAUUCCUCCUACUGAAAGCUCCGACGAAGCUUGGAGAAUAUUGAAAGACUAUCUAACUGCAAAUGUUUACUUUGCAGGAGAAUCCUACAAAACCAGAACCUAUUACGAACAAAUUCUUGUCAAUACUGCCAGUGCGACAUUCGAGCACAGCCCUUUAGGAGAAUCUACUCCGGGCGUUCACGGCUACUCCAAAAUAAUUAUAAAAAAAUUGAUUCCUAUCGAAGAAUGGGGAAUUUCUUCCAUGACUCUUCGAAAUCUCCCUAUGGGACCUCAAGGGCAAACUAUUGCCAACUUUACUUAUUGGGACUACAUUAAAGCUUUUUCUCAAGUCUUUUAUUACAAUAAUUAUAAACAUAAACACACUUGGUUCGUUAAAAUAUGUUCCAAGGUAUUUGAGAAAUCAGUCCCAAACUGGUUUAUUCACUGGUGGACACAGCACGGACCAUCAGUAAAGAUUUUACCCCCUGAAUAUUUUUCCCUUUACACCUCCUGGAAAAAAUCAUCUCCAUUUUUAACGGAGUUAUAUCAUUCAGACCAUAUCUGCAAAUUAGAUACCAUCGACCAGAUGUAUUUCUAUAUUGAAUUUUCUAUUCCCUGGAUCCAUAAAUGGUCGAUCGAAAUUGGUUAUGAUUCCCAACAAAUCCCAGCCAUCUACCGUACUUUUUAUUGCAAUUUCUGGGAUAAACUCUUACGAAUUGAUCCUGCAACUAAACUGCCUUAUGGGCAUGAUCAACGAGAAGAAAUAAAGCAAACAAUCGCUGCCUAUGCACAACACCCUAAAAUGAGUAUUCUUAUUGAAGAUAAAUCCAUCAACUAUGUCUCCAGACGAAUAUCAGCUCACGACGGCAAUAAGCUCCAAAUGAUUGAAGAAUAUUUGGCUGAAGUUAAGAACAAACUGCUGCUUAACAUCGAACAAUCUUCAGAUACUUCUAUGAAUAGCACUGAGGCAAAUACGGAUGAUAUCACAGAUUCUCAGCCUCCUGAAACACUCAAUGAAGAAGAAGUAUUAGCCAAUGCCGCCGAAUUUCUAAAGUGGGGACAAAAUACCAAGUAAAUACUGUUGUAAUAACAUUAUUUGAAAAACACUACUGUAAUAGUAAAAAUACUGUAGAAACACUGUGCACAGGGACCCAUGUAUUACUGUGCAAGAUUCUUUAUCUUUCUAUAUAAGAUGCCUCAUUUUCUUCAAAGGGGCAGAAGUAGAAAAAAAUCUCUCUUGUAUAUUUCUCUCUUGUAAACAAGGUCUUGUGGAAAUAAAGAAAGUUUUGUGAAUAGUAUUCCGGCGAAUCUCCAGGAAGGUACAUCUAUAUUUAAUUUUUACUUUUGUUAUCUAUAUUUCUCCCAGAUCUACGCCGUGACUAUGUCCGGCUAAACUCCUUUUUUAUGUUCAUACAACAGUUCUAACCUCUCGACAUAUAUAAACUAUGAAAGAUCCAGACUCUACUUAGAUAAUACAAGAAGUUUUAUCGUUUCCCGACUUGGUUCCGAAAUGGAGGUACAGUCGAGAUCGACAGUUUUACGAUAGCUCUGUCUCUGUGACUCCGUCUAGUGAGUUGUGCCUUUGAAGCCCGUACACCUGAAAAGAAAGGGCAAUUUUUGCACAAUUAGAACUACUAGACAUAUGGGCUAACAAGAAACUGUUUGAUUUCUGACAGGCCCCUUGUUCGGGUAAAAGGAUUUACCAUACAGUCAGAAACUUCGAAACUUCUUUAUUAUUUCGGUUGGUGCUUCGGUUCGGUUUUCCGACUUUAGCUUAAUCCGAUAUUAUUGAUGGUCUGGUAGGCUGAGCGGCAUACCCCAGCCUAAGAGAUCCUGAAAUGGUAUCAGAGCCUGGGAACUUUCAUAGUAUGUAUACUAGAGAUGGCGAAAACAGUUUGUAUGAGCAUAAAAAAAAAUUAUUAAUUCAUGGAUAUGGGUGAAGUUAGUACGAAAAGUACUAAACUUGAAGAGGUAGAUUUGCCUCAAAACAUAGAUCUUCUGAAUAAAUGGACUAUUCCAAAGGUUGAAAUAAAGACUAUUUAUGAAUAUGGAUUUUUUGAUAAAAUCAAACACAAACAGAUUAUUAAAACCUCAGAACAAUCUCUUGCUCUAAAUGCGGAAGAACAGACUAUUCAACUUCUGCACAAGCGAGAUAUUGACAUUUUUAAACGCAAUUUUAACUAUAUGCAUAUUGGCCUUGUACAAAUUGCUUUUCGACCUCUAACCUUAAAGGGUCUUCCUGAGACAUUUUUAGCCGCUCUACGAGAUGCUAGAAAUUUAAAUUUCAGAAAAUCUCUUAUGGGUUCAGUAGAAUCCACUCUUGCAUACGGCCCUGUUUAUUUUAAUACUCAGCCAAAUUUAUUACUAUCGUUAACUGAUGUUAAUAUUCUUCAUGCCUUAACUCUGAAUAUUAAAACUCAUGGUUAUAAUUAUGCCCCUGGAUCUGAGCUUAUUGGUUUAUCUUACCGCAUUUAUUAUCGGUUAUUAUCUACUUUAAAUCCCCGUUGUAAGUUGAUAGAUGAUAAUACCGAUUGUACUCUUCUUAUUGAGACUAAUUUUAUCAAAUCCAAAAUAACUACCCGACGACCUAUUCGAUGGGAUGAAAUAGAUUUCCCUCAGACUUGGGUCUUAAAUUCGGUUACUUCCCCAAAACAAUUGGCGGAUGAAGUAACUAAUUCUGAGUUAACUCAUGUAACUCAAAACUCUGACGGACAGAUUUGUCUACAAUUUGACAAUAGUCUUCCGGUUUAUCGAAACUCUUUCUCCAUGUCUCGAAAACUUCCUCAAAUUCAGCAUAUCUCUCCGAUCGAACCAUCUACUCCACCAGAAUAUGGCCCAGCUAGAAAUCGCGCCGCAUCUUUGCAUACUUUAAAUUCUACUACGCCUCAUACUACACCUAGACAUGUAGAAAAGAUUAAAAUCAACCCCAAAACAAAUAUUGUUCAAGAUUUUGAUAACGAAAAUCCUACUCCUUCCGAGAUGGAAUUCGACAUUAAUUCUGUUUAAUCAUGAUAGGACAACUUAUUGAUUUUAGUCCUGGUUCUCAGGCAAGAAAAUAUAUUCAAAAAGAAUUUUUUACUGAAAAAUGGACCAACUUUAGGACUUGGUUUUUUGAAACCUAUACUCAAGAUGAAUUACGAAAUAUUUCUGAAGAAUUUUAUGAAAUGUGUGUUCUGCAUAAUCAAAUUAUCUUUUUUGUUCCUUGGUUUAUGUCAGCUUAUUUGCCGUCGUAUAUCAAGCUUAUAGAACGUUCUUACCAAAAUCCUGACGGUACAGUCACUCAAGCCUGCUAUCCUCCUCAAUCGUCAUUCAUUCUCCCAAACAACACAGGCCUAACGUUUUCAGCCUUUCAAAAAUUUAUUCAUGACGAUGUGGGAAAAAUUACUGUCUCUGAAAUAAAUAACCUUAUAUCUCAAAAUAAUUAUUUAAGUCUAUAUGUUAAAGUUCUCGGUGAACAUAUUUCCUCUCUGGAUACCAAACUCGAUGAACUUAUUGUUCUGGUAACUCAGCUUAGUGCAAAACUUAAUUCCACUGAUAUUCCUUCUACUUCCAAACAACCUGUUAAUGAAGGAAUCAUUCUUUCUAAACCUUGUAUUCAACGACCCCUAGAAAUAGAGGGAUUUACUAAGGCUUCGCCCCUAGAACAGCUAGAAACUCUUUUGGAUAAAAAAUUCUCUAGACUCAAUAUCCAACCUCUGACUAUGUCCACAGAUCAUAUUCCAACUAUUGAGUCAAAUUUUGCGGAUCAUCUCGCAUCCUCCGAUCAUCCAGAAGAAGUUCUCUCUUCCGAACUUUAUAAACUCAGAGGGCUAAUAAAACCACAAUCCGGAAAAAAAUUCGCAGAUAUUCCCCGCAUGUCUACCGCUUAUUAUCCUCGUCCCACUCCUCAAGAUGUUCUGAUCGAAGAAAGGGAUUGGAAUCAAACAAACACUUCGUAUAGCGGCGACGCUAUUUACGAAUGGAAUAUUGAUGGUCUUUCUGAUCGCCAAAUCUCUAUUCUAAUUCAUCGUAUGUCCAUGUAUGCUACUAUUUGUCUGGCCACAAAAGCCACUGAUAGAAACGCCAAAACUGACCAAACAAUCUGUAAAAUGAUUGUUGCUGGGUUCACUGGUCAACUCCGUGGCUGGUGGGAUAAUUUCCUUGAUGACACUAAACGCGCGGCGAUUUUUGACGCCACCAAUGACAAAGAGGGCAAAGAUAAUCUUGGCCGCACUCUUGCAGCAGGCCGAUCUGAUGCCGUUUAUACCCUCAUGCUGACUAUUAUUGAACACUUUGGCGGUAGGUUCACUAAUCAUCAUGAAAAUAUUCGCACUCUUCUUAAUGGGUUAAAAUGCCGCCACUUAGGCGAAUUUCGUUGGUAUAAAGAUACCUUUCUUAGCCGGGUUAUGGAUUUACCCGAAAGUAGAUACGAACACUGGAAAGCCAAAUUCAUUGAUGGUCUUCCUCCCCUUUUUGCGGAACGUGUUCGCAAAACUCUUCGCGGAUCUUAUGGUGAGAUCCCCUAUGCUGACAAAACUUAUGGUCAAUUGAUCGUAGCUUGUACUCAAGAAGGGUUAGCCCUUUGUAACGAGUUAAAACUGGCUAGACAGAUCAAAAUUGAUAAACUCCGAGAAAAAACUCAAUUAGGUAAUUUCUGCGAACAAUUUGGCAUGGAAAAACCCUUAAUUCGAAAACCUUACAAAUCUUCCACAUAUCAAUCUAAACGUCCUCGGCGACGUAGUAAGGAGCAGCGAGAAAUUCGUAAAUCCUUCCGAAAAUCUACUCGAUUUGCUAAAAAUCGUUCAAAACGAGACUUAGCAAAGAUUAAAUGCUACAAAUGCAAUCAAUACGGUCAUAUUUCUCCAAAUUGUAAAUUACAAAAAUUAAAAACCCUGAAUCUCUCUGAUGACAUUCAGAAUCAAGUCUAUAAUUUGUUGUACACUUCUGAUUCUGACUCCGAUUCAGACUCCACUUCUGAAAAUGAUUUUCAACUACCUGACUCUGAUAAUCAUCUUGAACAACCUGAAAAAUGUGUUGAUUGUGAUAAUCAUGAUUGCAAUUGUGAUGAAGUAAUGUACAAACUUCAAGCUCAAUUUGAAGAUGUUGAUUUAGAUGUUAAAACCAUUACUUCUGAAAAUGUUCUCGAAUUGUUAAAGGAAGUCACGGACGAAAAGCUUCGUGACAAAAUUUUGCAUUUAGCCACUCCAAAAUCUUCUAGUUCUACUGUUUCAGCACGAGAUAAUUUUGAAACUCAGCCUAUGGCAUAUUCUUUGGAUGAAGUUCAUCGAAGGUUAGCUUUAAGCAAAAUUCCCGGUCGCGAUACCACUUUUAAUGAUUUAAAAAUCGAAGUUGAAAAACUAAAAAGGGAAAUUAUUUCUUUAAAACAAAAUCAGAUAAUUACUGAGCAUCGCAUUUCGAAACUUGAAGAAACUGAUUGUUCUUCUUCAGGUCACAAGCCAAACGAAAAAGAUUUUACAAAUACUGAUCUUAGUCAAACGGUUAAUAUUGAUAGUCUGCAAAAUGAUUCCUUUCUAGGAAUGUUGCAAAUCGUUACUGCUCAUAAAUGGUAUAUUAAUUGUACCAUUUUAGUUAAUAAGGAAUUCUUUAUCACUAAUGUCGCCAUGAUUGACAGUGGGGCAGACGUUAGUUGUAUUCAAGAAGGGUUAAUCCCUACAAAAUAUUUUGAAAAAACUACUCACCUCGUUAAAUCUGCAACUGGUCACUCACUUGACAUUAAUUAUAAACUGCCUCAUGCUCAUAUUUGUCGUGACAAGAUAUGCAUUCCUCACUUUUUCUUUUUAGUGAAAAAUCAGAUUUAUCCUCCUAUUAUUUUAGGAACCCCGUUUAUAAAUGCUAUAUAUCCCUACACUCAUAUAGACGAAAAGGGAUUUAGAGCUACUUAUAAAAAUCAGCCUAUUUCUUAUUCUUUUGUUACUCAACCUGUAACUCGUGAUAUUAAUGCUCUUAUUAAUAUAAAGCAAAAACAGCUCAAUUUUUUACAAUUAGAAGUACUGAGUAUUACUACCCCUGAGAUUAUAAAAUCUGUUAAAGUACAGGAAAAGUUAAAGACUGUUUCUUCACAAUUAAUGAAUGAUAUUUGUGCUGACCAUCCAAAUGCUUUCUGGAGUAGAAAGAAGCAUAUUGUUUCACUUCCUUAUGAGGACGGCUUCACUGAAGAAAAAAUUCCAACAAAAUCUCGACCCUGUCAAAUGAAUGCGGAAUUAGUUGAAUUCUGCAAAAAGGAGAUUGAUCAUCUCCUGCAAAAGGGUCUCAUUAAACCAUCAAAAUCCCCU
rnacentral:lncRNA from 1 species